rnacentral:lncRNA from 10 species
GCACAACAGACUGUCUUUACGAUCCAUCCUUCUCACGUUCAGCCGGCGUAUACCAACCCACCCCACAUGGCCCACGUACCUCAGGCUCAUGUACAGUCAGGAAUGGUUCCUUCUCAUCCAACUGCCCAUGCGCCAAUGAUGCUAAUGACGACACAGCCACCCGGCGGUCCCCAGGCCGCCCUCGCUCAAAGUGCACUACAGCCCAUUCCAGUCUCGACAACAGCGCAUUUCCCCUAUAUGACGCACCCUUCAGGUGAGGCGUGUGUGUGCAGGGGCCGCCGGGGCACCCCAAAGCAUUCUGCUCGCACAGGUGGAAUGGCAGGCAGGGCCAGUGCUUCAAGCCCCGCAUUUGAGAACUAGCAAGACCCGUCCAGGAGUGUGCACAGGAGGGACUGUGACGAUCAGUUCAGCAUCAGGGCCUGAGGCUUCCGGGAGCCGAGUCUGUGUGUGUUCUGAUGGUAUACAGGAUUUGGCUUGAUGAGAAGCAGCAGCAGCAGCAACAGCAGCCUGAUGCAUGCCUAGGACUCAGUUGGCCUUCCUUGUUAUGACAGGCUGGACAGGGCAGUGUUUUCCUUCCUGAGUCCCAAAAGUCUGACAUGUGGGGGGUUAU